GGAGCAGGCUUCGCCGAAUGGUUAAGCUGUCCGCUUAGUACGCGCAAAAUAAUGAGUUCGAUUCCCAUCUGCUCCA
rnacentral:tRNA from 1 species